UGCCUCUGGUUAGCUCCACGUCUUGCGUCUGUGCGGUAGCCACUUGUAAUGUGCUGAUCGCAUCCCAUCUAGAGCAGCGCUGCAGUGCAGCACUGUGUGACUCCACAACGGCUGUCGGGGCCGGAGGCGGAGUUUUCUGGGACUGUCCGGCAAUGCGCCUGCCUCCUGACAGUCCCCCAGCCUGUCUCCCGGAAGCUCUGUCUUCCUCUGCCGCGCGCCCCCCUCUCCCGGGUGCCUCAUGCUGGGCGGGAAGUACUCCCUCCGCAGUCUGCUCUCUGUGCAAGCUGUCCUGGAGUCUGUUGGUGUCGAUGGUGGCUUCCAGGUGAGGAGCGACAGCGGAGGCUGCAGUGUUUGGGGAACUAACUAGAUGUCCAGGGACAAGCAGGCCCGAUCCCCCCCUUCCCCCCACCCCUCAGAAAUUUCCCUGCAUAGCAACGAGGAGUGGGAGCCGACCCAGGAGGAGGAUACGACCGACCAGGCAUGCAGUGACCAGCCGCGGUCGUCAAGGGACCAAAUGGAGAAGUCAAAGAAAAAGAAAGCCUAGAAAGAGCAAGAAGCCAGCCAGAGGAGCAGUCGGAGGAGGAAGCCUCUGGUGAAGAUGCAGGACCGAAGAAGCCGCGUGGACCCAGAUACACUGAGGCGGAAAACUGUGCCCUAGUGGAUGGCGUCGACAGGUCCUACGACGUUCUGUAUGGACCAAGGGCACAGACCACAGCAGCUAAGACCAAGCGAAACAUCUGGGAUGCCAUCGCGAGACAAGUCACUGCAGUAUCUUCAAACCGCCGGAGCACCACAAACUGCAUGAAGCGGUACAGUGAUUGCCGCAGACAGACCAAGAAGAAGAUGGGGAUUCAGCGCCGACAUGAGACAGCUACGGGAGGUGGUCCGGAUCUCAAUCUGAAGUGGCUACCCUGGGAGAACGUUAUUAGAAGGCGCAUGAACCCUGCCAUGGUCGAAGGAGUUCACGGAGGUGUGGACUCUAGCCGUCCUGCUGGCUUUCCAGAGGAGGAAGAACCGCCCAGAAGACGGCGGGAGACAAGCAAUACAAAAGGAGGCCUGAUCAUAAGAAUACAUUCAGAUGAGCUGUUCUAAAUCUUUUUUUUUUUUUUUUGUAUUUGCUAAUGUGUUUUUUUUCCCCACAGACACGCCUGCCCAGAGGACAUCACCUGCGCGCAGGACAUCGCCAGCGCGCAGACCAUCACCUGCGCAGCAGGCAUCGACAGCAGCGCACGGACCAUCACCUGCGCAGCAAGCAUCGGGAGCGCGCAGAUCAUCACAUGUGCGCCACACAUCGUCAUCGCACAGAAAGUCACCUGCGCGCCAGACGUCGUCAGCGUGCAGACCAUCACCUGCGCGCCUGACAUCAGCGCGCAGAACGUCACCUGUGCGCCAGACACCGUCGGCGACCACACCACCAGAUGGGCACCAAACUACAGCUCCUGCGCGCAGGCCAUCACCAGCUCAUCUCUCCAGGAGCUCUGGGACUGUGACUGAAGAGCCUCAACAAGA